rnacentral:rRNA from 1 species
AAAGAUUAAGCCAUGCAUGUCUAAGUAUAAGCACUUUAUACUGUGAAACUGCGAACGGCUCAUUAAAUCAGUUAUCGUUUAUUUGAUAGUACCUUACUACAUGGAUACCUGUGGUAAUUCUAGAGCUAAUACAUGCUAAAAACCCCGACUUCAGGAAGGGGUGUAUUUAUUAGAUAAAAAACCAACGCCCUUCGGGGCUCCUUGGUGAAUCAUAAUAACUUAACGAAUCGCAUGGCCUUGCGCCGGCGAUGGUUCAUUCAAAUUUCUGCCCUAUCAACUUUCGAUGGUAGGAUAGUGGCCUACCAUGGUGG